rnacentral:rRNA from 1 species
AUGAUGCUGGGAGGGCACGGCGGCGGCGGCGGCGGCGGGAGGUGCCUGUUCACGGCGUCGCAGUGGCGGGAGCUGGAGCACCAGGCGCUCAUCUACAAGUACAUGGCCGCCGGCUCGCAGGUGCCCCACGAGCUGGUCCUCCCGCUCCGCCACCGCGACGCAGCCUUCGCCGCCAUCGACACCGCCCCCUCCCUCGCCUGCUACCCUCCUCCGCAGCCAUCCCUGGGGUGGGGGCUCUACGGGGCGGGAUCGCAGUACGCGCGGAAGCCGGAGGACCCGGAGCCCGGGCGGUGCCGGCGGACGGACGGCAAGAAAUGGCGGUGCUCCAGGGAGGCGUAUGGGGAGUCCAAGUACUGCGACAGGCACAUGCACCGCGGCAAGAACCGUUCAAGAAAGCCUGUGGAACCAAUGAGCUCCGCCUCCUCCGUCUCCUCCCCGGCCGCCUCGUACCGCCACACCGCCCUCUCCAUGUCGCCCCCCACGCCGGCCGACACGCCCAGCUACGGCCACGGCCACGGCCACGACCACCUCCGCGCAGCUGCUGGUCAGAGCCAGAUAAACCCUCUCCAGCUCCACCUCGACACCCCGUCGCCCCCGCCGUCCUACCACAGGUACGCGCCGGCGCAGCAGUACGGGGGCUCCUUCUUCCCGAGCAGGCAGCAGGUGCAGGAGGAGGAGGCGAGGCGGCGGCAGCACUUCCUGGCUCUCGGCGCCGACCUGAGCCUGGACAAGCCGGACGCCACCACCGCGGCGUCCUCGACAACCGAGGAGAAGCCGCUGCGGCGCUUCUUCGACGAGUGGCCGCGCGACGGGAACGCCGUCGAGGGUAGGCCCUGGAAUAUGGGCCACCGGGACGAGACGCUGCUCUCCAUGUCCAUCCCCACGACGACGGCCUCGCACCCCGACCUCGCCGCCGCCUCGCGCUACCACCACCACCACAACGAUGAAUAA